rnacentral:rRNA from 1 species
UACGAAGGGGGCUAGCGUUGCUCGGAAUCACUGGGCGUAAAGGGUGCGUAGGCGGCCGGGUAAGUCUGAUGUGAAAUCUCACAGCUUAACUGUGAAACUGCAUUGGAUACUAUCCGGCUCGAGGAAUGGAGGGGAGACUGGAAUACUUGGUGUAGCAGUGAAAUGCGUAGAUAUCAAGUGGAACACCCGUGGCUAAGGCGGCUCUCUAGUACGGUACUGACGCUGAGACGCGAAAGCGUGGGGAGCGAACAGG